rnacentral:rRNA from 1 species
AACGAACGCUGGCGGCAUGCCUAACACGUGCAAGUCGAACGAGAUCUUCGGGUCUAGUGGCGCACGGGUGCGUAACGCGUGGGAAUCUGCCCUUUGGUUCGGAAUAACAGUUGGAAACGACUGCUAAUACCGGAUGAUGACGAAAGUCCAAAGAUUUAUCGCCAGAGGAUGAGCCCGCGUAGGAUUAGCUAGUUGGUGUGGUAAAGGCGCACCAAGGCGACGAUCCUUAGCUGGUCUGAGAGGAUGAUCAGCCACACUGGGACUGAGACACGGCCCAGACUCCUACGGGAGGCAGCAGUGGGGAAUAUUGGACAAUGGGCGAAAGCCUGAUCCAGCAAUGCCGCGUGAGUGAUGAAGGCCUUAGGGUUGUAAAGCUCUUUUACCCGGGAUGAUAAUGACAGUACCGGGAGAAUAAGCUCCGGCUAACUCCGUGCCAGCAGCCGCGGUAAAAC